UUCCAUACACCAUAGUAUUAGAGGGGAUAAAUUCCAUACACCAUAGUAUUAGGGGUGAUAAAUUCCAUACACCAUAGUAUUAGGGGGGAUAAAUUCCAUACACCAUAGUAUUAGAGGGGAUAAAUUCCAUACACCAUAGUAUUAGAGGGGAUAAAUUCCAUACACCAUAGUAUUAGAGGGGAUAAAUUCCAUACACCAUAGUAUUAGGGGGGAUAAAUUCCAUACACCAUAGUAUUAGGGGGGAUAAAUUCCAUACACCAUAGUAUUAGGGGGGGGAUAAAUUCCAUACACCACAGUAUUAGUGGGGGGAUAAAUUCCAUACACCACAGUAUUAGAGGGGGGAUAAAUUCCAUACACCACAGUAUUAGAGGGGAUGAAUUACAUACACCAUGUGUGACGGUUACCGCUAUAGAGUGAGGGUAUCUACCGUCUGGACAACCUUCUUCCCAUAGAUAGAGAGCACUGCCAACCCGAUAUCCUUUAGAGCUAG